GAGAAUAUGCCCUUCGGGGUAGAUCUCCCACCCUUUGUUUAUAUUACCUUUGUUGCUUUGGCAGGCCCGUCUUUGGACCACCGGCUUCGGCUGGUCAGUGCUUGCCAGAGGACCCAAAACUCUUAUUAUUAAUGUCGUCUGAGUACUAUAUAAUAGUUAAAACUUUCAACAACGGAUCUCUUGGUUCU
rnacentral:misc_RNA from 1 species